ensembl:lncRNA
GGCACAUAAUGAUUAGGCAUAUGAUUUACUAAUGCAGAUGUAAUAACUUUAUUCUAAAAUUCAGGGAGAACAAACAAGAACAACAUCUUCAGUUGUGUAUUGUUGUUGUUCUCUGUGUAGUGUGCUGAAUUUUGUUUUUUGUUUCUUUUGUUUUUUGAAAUGUUGCUUGAGUGAUGAGUACUGUAACUUCUGUUCAGAGCCAGCUGAGAGCUGGGUUGUCUGUUUUGUUUUAGGUGACAAGCCAGAAAAGUUAAAACUUAGUUUCUUGUUUUGAAAAAGAAAAAAGGGAAAAAAGGGAGGUUUUGUGUUUCUCAGCAAAGAACAACUACAAUUUCAUUUUCUGUUUUUGAGAAAGGAGAAUUUAUAACAAUAAUAAUAAUAAUAAUAAAACAAAGAGUGAUGUUUUGUUUAAGUGGUGAAGACAGCUAAUACUGCAAAAUACCAUUUAGUGAAUGAUCUGCGAGCAAUAAAUGAAAUCAUCUUAUUUAUCUUUGAAUAAACUCCAAUUAUGGAGACCUGAAGUCACAUGCUUAGGGCACACUCUCAGGUGAAGGCAGAAAGCUACUAAACAACGAAAAGAAGCUAUACAAAAUGCGCCACAGCCACAAACUAAGCAUUCAUAUUCUUUCUAACUCUUAGUGAGCCUGAGUUAUGACCUUGGCUCCCUGUUUUUCUGCUUCCACCAAAGGUGGGGGUGAUGCUCCCGUGGCAUGUGCUCUGUUCUUUUUACUAUCACAAAGAGGAAAAAAAGAGAGAGAGACCCCUACUCUCUGAAUACAAUAUUCUCUUCAUAACUCGGCAGUAUGAAAUGUCAUGAAACAGUGUAACUCACUCACAGUAAAUCAGCAGUAUAGGAUAAUACAAACCUAUCUAAUAAAUCUAAUGAUUUUCACAUUCUUUUAACUCAGAAGUAUGAUGUGGCCUACAGCAGUAUCAUGAUUCACUCAUUUUGAUUAUAGGUAUAAUGUAAUAUAUAACAGCAUAAUAAUCUCACAACUGCUACAAGCACAUUUGCCUUUCUUAACACACGCGAGAGAAAGGCAACUGUUGAGAAAAUGCUCUUUUGGGUGAGACAGGCCCAGAGGCCUUGCAUGCAAGCUACUAAUACACAUACAUGCAAUGAAGAACAGCUUACACUACAGCACACACUAUACAUGUGCCUAUAUCCCUCAUUAGUGUUAAAACAGGGAAAACUUAAUAGUUUUGUUAUCAAAUGCUGAAGUUUAUCCACUACUAACAAAUAAACUCUCUGGGUUGCAGGACAACAACUUCAAAAAGAACGACACUGGUAUGACCAACCAGUGAUGAAACAACAAAUUUAGUGGUUAAGAGUCAAAUGGUGAGAUGUUUUCUGCUGAUUGAAUCAUGCAAGUGAUUACUGAAGGAAGGAAAAUUCCUUUUUUGUGCCUUUAAACGUGAUCUUACGAAUUUUAAUAUCUACCUGUGUUGUCCUGUCACCUUGGUGGGUUAUGAGUUAAUUAUAUUGUGAGGAAAAACAAAAAAGGGGGAGAGAAGGCUGACACAGGGCCUGGCCCGGUGUUUCUCCCCUCUGAAUAACACAGCCAAUACAACAUCAUUUUCCUGUUCGUCUGUUUUGUUUUGUUUUUGUUUUUUCUCUUUAUGUUUAAUUACAGGCUGCUUUGCCGGUCCUGAAAGCCGAAGCUGACCUGGACUCCUGCUCUCCCCUCUACCAUCUCUGACCCUGACCAAAUGCUGCAGCAGCUGGACCCAUAACAACAAUCUAAAAAUGUCAACAGUGCUACAGGAAAGCGAUCUCAUGCAGCAGAGACGGAGACCGUUAAAUCCAAGGCCCGUUUCACUACACGGGGGAGAUUUCCAGACAGCUUCAGCUGACAGAGCUGUGACGAGACGCCCAUUAAGCCCGAAUGAAAAGUAAGGCCGAGCAAAAGAAUGCUGACCUUGAUAACUUUGCAUUUAACACUGUGCAGGACAGUGAUGGACCAACACGGAUGAUCGGGCAGCAGAAGAAAGGGCGUGCCAGAGACAGGAGGAGCAACUGAGGUCAAAAGGCACCUCAGAAUGGACAAAACACAGAAGAAGAUGCAGGACUGCCCCAAUUGGGGCCAAGACCAGGACAGACUGAACUUUGAGCAGCAGCAGCAGCAGCAAUGGUCGCAACCGGACUGAAAAGGAGGAGGGCAGGACCCCAGGGCACGCUUCAGGCCGUGGUUUACCCAAAACACCAGAACAGGAAAGUGAUAAACACGCCAACAUACACAAACAUACACAUCUACACACACUGACUCAAAAUGAAGAGAAACACACACCUGAACAGACGUGCACUUGUUGAUUGAGUGAGAAAUGACACACACACACAUCAGACAAUGUACACUCAUCAAACAUGACUGACGCCCUGAACGCCUUGAGACAGAUCCAGCAGGCCCAAAAUCAGGACUAUGUAAAUAAUACAAGUGACUGCUAAAAAGACUACUACUGCCUUUUCACUGUGCAAUACUUUUUGUUAAAAACCAACGGUGCAAUAGACUUCAAUACUUGAAAUACUUGAAAUACUUGAAAUACUUGCAAUUCCUUUGUAUUCUUAUUCUUAUUUAUUCUAUUUAUCCCUUUUUGUAUUUUUACUUUUAUUUUGUGUUUUUAUAACAUGUAUCCUGCCAUGUCUAAAACUCAUGAUUAACCGCAUAAUUGUUUCCACUGUUGCUGCAUACAUAGCCGUGACAAAUGAUGAUGAUGACCCCGACCUGUUGGAGCAUGAAGACUUUGUGUGAUUAAUGAUGGUGUGAUAGAAAAUGUACUACAAGAUGUUACAUACUGAUAUCUCACUUCAAAGUUAUACUGACAACAGGAGGGAAUGUCAAUGGAAAAUUGUACUUAGUAGUCAGUAUAAGCUUUUAAUGAUAUAAGUUUGCAUAUGAUAGAAUACUGUAUGAUGACCUUUUGAUGACUUAGACUGUUGUCCACUACAGGACUGUUUUAUGAAUUCUUUCUCACAGCGAUAAUAGCUGUUAUUAUUUCACUCCUGCCAGGAAGAGGCGAACUGGACACUCUUAUCUGACGCUCCCUAACAAGAAGAGAGGCCGCGUCUUUCUGUAUCCCACAACACACAUGCAUACACCUAAACCACUCUUAUCUUCACUCCCUACGCACUAACUUUCCUCUGCCUAUGAAUAGACGUAUUCACUGUUGUAUUAUUUUUGCAUAUAAAUAAAGACAAGUGCAAGAACAGAGCGCGCAUCACAGGGCCCCCACUCUGGUGUGAGUGUUCUGUGACCGCCCUUGUAUACAAGUGAAA